AUAUUCUAUAACGAGUAUGGAAUAAGGUGUAUUCCGCGCGAGUGAAAAGUUCGUCACACGAGCCGAAGGCGAGUGUGACGGUUUCACGAGCGUUGAAUACCUAUUCCUUACAAGUCAUAGACAUAAUUUUUUCUACUACUACAACGAAUUGUUGCGAAAUAUGUAAAAUUCCGACCAGAGUUAGUGGUAGACAAUCCACAAAUAGUUCUGUGUGCGGUGGGUAGGUAUAACAAAUCCCUGUGGCAUUUGAGCGACUCUCAUUUGUCUAAAUGACCCAGAACGAACGAUACCGCACAUGCGAAAGAAAUGUAAAAGGUUUGUUCGUAUUAUUUGCGUUUAGCACAGACGUGUUUAGUAAUCGAAAAUGUACAUAUAUUUGUUACGGUUAAAGUAGACAUUUGGUAAAUGUGCACAUGUUAACACUACUCCCAUUUGUAUGUUAGUUUUCACGCUCCCCAAGGUAAUACCUACUGAGGAAAUCUGUUCUGGUCCUGGAUCACCAACAACUUACUGUUACCUGUUUGGAUGUUCUUUUCGUAUAGUGCUGUGAGGUGUAGCUACUCGUGGCUUAUGCUCUUAGGAAUGGACCUCAAGAUAAACACGUGGCUUAAGCUGUUGUGAGUGGACCUCAAGAUAAGACUUGUGAACAAAACGCUAAGUGUUUCGGGAUCUGAUGAGAUUGGAUUGAUUUUUUAAAAGGGCCUGCAACUUAGCGUAGCUGCUUAUGUCGACAUUAUUGUUCAAAAGUAAUUUAGAUCGUAACAUGGGAUACGUUUUGCACAAUGUUGUAGAUGCUUUAAUUGCCUGUGAUAAUAUAA